AGCAGACGGACAGCACACACCAUGCAGAUCAGGCAGGGGUGAGAAAAACACAACAAAGCAAGGCAAGUUAGUGACAGCAUUAAGAGGUCCGGCCUGGAUGAAGAGGGUGCUGGCUCUAGAGGAGGGGCCCCGGGGACAAACGGCUCUGGAGCCCAGCCAGAGGACAGACCUCAGGGCAUUUGCUCCUCUCUCGGGACAGGGGGCACCCGACCUUCAACAGAUGUGAGGACAUAUGAACUCUCAGGGCAACUAUGGCCAACAGCCGUGAGCCAUGAGUCACCGCUUCCUCAGUGCAGUUCCGACCCCAGAGCAGGAGGGAAGACGGGCAGGGCGCCCACUACAUGGCAUGUUCCUGCUCCUGGGGCACCACACUGCCCCGCUGUGAGGACUCCAGCCCGCCCCAGAAGCCGAGGUUUCUCCUGAGCGAGUCCGAGUCCCAGGAUUGUGAUUCGAGGCAUCCUGCCCAUCCCCAGCAGCAGAGAGCAACGGCAGGUGCGAGGAGCAGCUCCCAGGAUCUUACCUGCCAUCAAACCGAUGCUUCAAGAAGUCAAAUAAAGCUUUCUGCAUCAUGUCUGU
rnacentral:lncRNA from 1 species